UACGAAGGGGGCUAGCGUUGCUCGGAAUUACUGGGCGUAAAGGGAGCGUAGGCGGAUAGUUUAGUCAGAGGUGAAAGCCCAGGGCUCAACCUUGGAAUUGCCUUUGAUACUGGCUAUCUUGAGUAUGGAAGAGGUAUGUGGAACUCCGAGUGUAGAGGUGAAAUUCGUAGAUAUUCGCAAGAACACCAGUGGCGAAGGCGGCUUACUGGUCCGGAACUGACGCUGAGGUGCGAAAGCGUGGGGAGCAAACAGG
rnacentral:rRNA from 1 species